CUGCUUCCAGGUUAUAUUUUAACCCUGGAGCCGUGCCAUGAGGAAUCCUUCCUGCUCCUGGAGCUCAGGGAGCUGCCACGGGCACAGUGGUGGAGCCCAUCGGAAUUAAACAAUUUAAUCAUGACCCUGCAGGCAGAGCAGGAUCGUUCCCAGCUUUCAUCACAUUCCCCGAACUUUCUCCUUUCUGCCUGAGUCACCGAGGGAUUGGUUCCGCAGCCAGGUUUUUGUGUAACAUCAACACGGGGUGAGCUGGUGCCAGGGAGAGCCACCGGCAAAGAAAAUUCGGGAGAAUUGAGCCCUAAUCGUUCUCCAGGGGGUUCUUCCAGCCCCAAACCAUCCCAAAACGGGAAAAGACAGCCCUGGAACUCCAGCAAAACCAGGCAGGGAGCUCCAGCCCCCCUGACUUUGUGCCAGCUCCGAGGGGAAGGAGCGGACUCCGGGAAUUUGGCCGCUGCGUUUUCUUUCAGCGCUCACAUAACCUGACCUAAUUCCCCCUUGCCGGGCGGGCUGGGUGGCACAGGGAGAGGCAGUGCCCGCUGUGUGUAAUUAAACUGCUUUGGGAUUAUUUCCUGCA